CAUUUUCAUGUGUAUGCUUGGUCCACGGACCUGUACCUUGUAACACAGAGGUCAAUCUCAGUGAUACCAUCACCCCUGACGUAUCAACAAGUCAGGUAGAAUACUGACAGACCAAGGAGGCAGAUCAUAUGGAAAUCCACCAAACAAGACUCUUGCAGCAGAGCUAGCGUUGUAGUUUGAGAGAAAAGCAGCGCAAGAUGACUUAGACUUGAACACAUGAGCCUGUGAAACAAAACAAGCAAAGAAACAGUGAUGUGACUGUAGGAUCAGCAGAGACCAAUGCUGGUUCACAGAGCUUGAUGACCUUAUGCAGCCUUUUCAAGUGACUAUACUUAGGUGAUGAAAGUUGAGUUACCGUAUUCAUCAAGAGGAGCAUCAUAGUCAUAGCUGGUGGUGACGAAUUCACCGGCUGUUCUAUCAAACAAUAGAGAAUAUGAAGUUACCAUAUAGUAAUUCAUGAAAGAGCCACCGUUCUGUAUGAAUCGUGCCACGGAGAAGGCAAUGUCUUCGGCUGGUCUGUGUGGUACCGCACCUCCAAACUCCGUCAACCUGAGGGGGAGGGACAUUAUGUUGUGUGACUUACCAACCAGUCCAGUUCUCUGUCCACAUUUUCGGCUUAUUGUCCGAGUUUGGUUUGAAAUUCUCACAAUAAAACCCAUUGCAUGUGUUUA